rnacentral:rRNA from 1 species
CAGUAGCCGCGGUAAUACGGAGGGUGCAAGCGUUAUUCGGAUUUAUUGGGUUUAAAGGGUCCGUAGGCGGACUUAUAAGUCAGUGGUGAAAGCCUGUCGCUUAACGAUAGAACUGCCAUUGAUACUGUAAGUCUUGAGUAUAUUUGAGGUAGCUGGAAUAAGUAGUGUAGCGGUGAAAUGCAUAGAUAUUACUUAGAACACCAAUUGCGAAGGCAGGUUACCAAGAUAUAACUGACGCUGAGGGACGAAAGCGUGGGUAGCGAACAGGAUUAGAUACCCCAGUAGUCCCUGUCUCUUAUAA